GAGUUUGAUCAUGGCUCAGAUUGAACGCUGGCGGCAUGCUUUACACAUGCAAGUCGAACGGCAGCACGGACUUCGGUCUGGUGGCGAGUGGCGAACGGGUGAGUAAUAUAUCGGAACGUACCUAGUAGAGGGGGAUAACUAGUCGAAAGAUUAGCUAAUACCGCAUACGAUCUACGGAUGAAAGCGGGGGACCUUCGGGCCUCGCGCUAUUAGAGCGGCCGAUAGCUGAUUAGCUAGUUGGUGGGGUAAAGGCCUACCAAGGCGAUGAUCAGUAGCUGGUCUGAGAGGACGAUCAGCCACACUGGGACUGAGAACGGCCCAGACUCCUACGGGAGGCAGCAGUGGGGAAUUUUGGACAAUGGGGGCAACCCUGAUCCAGCAAUGCCGCGUGAGUGAAGAAGGCCUUCGGGUUGUAAAGCUCUUUUGUCAGGGAAGAAAAGGCGAAGGUUAAUACCCUUUGCUGCUGACGGUACCUGAAGAAUAAGCACCGGCUAACUACGUGCCAGCAGCCGCGGUAAUACGUAGGGUGCCA
rnacentral:rRNA from 1 species